AUACGGAGGGUGCAAGCGUUAAUCGGAAUUGCUGGGCGUAAAGAGUACGUAGGUGGUUUGUUAAGUCAGAUGUGAAAGCCCCGGGCUCAACCUGGGAACUGCAUUUGAAACUGGCAAACUAGAGUAUGGUAGAGGGGGGUAGAAUUUCUAGUGUAGCGGUGAAAUGCGUAGAUAUUAGAAGGAAUACCAGUGGCGAAGGCGGCCCCCUGGACCAAUACUGACACUGAGGUACGAAAGCGUGGGUAGCGAACAGGAUUAGAAACCCUAGUAGUCC
rnacentral:rRNA from 1 species